UGGGUUUGUUGUGGAGAUGCCAGCUCGGGUCCUGGCAGGUGAUGAAUGACCCGGAAUUGGAGAGAUCCUGCAGCCAGUGCCAGGAGCUGAGUGAAAAACGAGCGAGGGCAGAGGCUGCAGGACGUGACAGGCUCCUACAGACAGAGGGUCAGGCGAGGACGUGCAGCUCCACGUUUCUGGCAUGUGAUGUUAAUGCAUGGAAAGACAAACUCCAGCCUGCUUUCCCUGAGCAGGAGGAGCUCUGCUGGGUUUAAUGGACUUUGAGGCAUCCUGAGAAUUCCAUUUAGGACCUGGGCUGUGCUGUGUAGUAAUAAAGUUCUGUUUCUUCAGUGGUACCUCAGGAUGUCUGACCUACAAGACAGGUGCCCAAAGGGAUGCACUGCCACCAAAGCAGGAGAUGUCUCCAGCUGAAUUUCAAUGGGAUGUUGCCAGUUCAACGAGAAAUCUGCUUUUUCUUGCUGAUCAGAUGAAAAAUUCCAGGCAUGGGGAAGUUGGUGACAGAGGAAAGCAGGAGUGCUGCUGCCCAGGGAAGUCCUUGUGGGCUGGGUGAAGUGAGAGGAGACAGAUCUUGCUUACAGAAUUUCCCUGGAUCACUCUUGCUGCAGGGUCCACAUGGCCAAGGGUAGAGCGUGGUGAUUAUGGAAAAUAUUUUUAUAUUGUCACACUUCCCUUCAUGAACUGUGGAGUGUGGGACCCCUGGAGAACACUCCCCUGUUGGCAGGUUUUAUCUCUACCUGGAUCACCUCAUCUCCAAGCCCUUUCCCUCUCCUCCCAGAGCUCUCCUGUCAGGGCAGGAGCACCCUUGGCAGAGGCACCACUCCAGCUCCACUCCUGGUUUGCUCCUGGUCGGUUCCACACUCUCUGGGAACUCUCCUCAUUUCUGGGCUGCUUUUGAUUACCCUGAGCUUUCUGGGGAAUGGUAAAAGCUCCUGCUGAGGUGGUUUCAGCCCAGACACACCCUAGGAAGAACAGGUCACCUUUCUUUUCUGGAUCCUGGACUACCUCAGGCUGCCAAUUUUAGCAGUGCCAGAGCUGAGGGGUUGUUCUUCAUCACCUUUCAACCCCUGAUGCUCCAUAAACAGCCAGGGCUUGACCUUAGAACAUCCCAAUCAAUAUCUCCUUGGGUCUGUAUUGCACAGAAAAUAGAUAAAAUAUUCCAAAUCCUAAAGGAUGUUGAUCUUAGGGAAAUUAGUGAAGGCCAAGCAGCUCCUUUGUGUUUUUCUAUUAUCAGACAGAUGUUAAUCCUUAAUGAAUUAUGUUUGCCUGAAUCCAGGAGCACCAUUUAUCCCUCAUGACCUUUGCUGAGUUAUUAAGUGUUAUAAAUAACUACUCUUAAUAUGCAGGCAGUGUCCAAGUGCUUUUUAUACUGAUUCAGGAACAAUCACAAACUAAUUUUCCACAAAUAAUUCCUCAGAUAUUUGAAUAAAAUGAAGACUGCAUUUGCAUAUCUGCCCAGAAGGAACUCAUCUCCCUGAAAAAUAUUCUGGUUUGCAAGCUGCUUUAGUCAAUGGCUUUAGCACAGUCACCCUCACAAGAAAUUAUGCUAAUCCAUGUGGGAGAUUUCAUUUUCCUUCAAAAAGAAUGGAAGCACAGUAAGACACAGAACAGCCCCAAUGACUGCAGGGAGAGGCACUACCCUGAGAAAUGGAUUGCAGGAUCUACUCAAAUAAAUCAUGGUUUGUUAGGGAAAAACAGUUGGCAGGUUGGAAUCAGAUACAGCUAUGGACAAGUAUUCAAUGAACAAAUGGAAUUCAGGAUUUAAUUAGGAUGUGCAGGUGUUGAGUUACAUGUGCAGGACUAGCUGGGCUUGGCAACUGAAAACUGAAAAUAACCACUUGGGAAUAUCCAAGAGAGAAUCAGAGUCCCAGAAUGGUUUGGGUUGCAAGGAACCUUGAAGCUCAUCUCAUUCUGUUCCCUGCCAUGGGCAGGGACACCUUCCACUAUCCCAGGCUGCUCCAAGCCCUGUCCAACCAAAACAGCUGGAAUACAACUUAAAACCUCAUGGACCAUUUGGCUGAUUCACCCCUCAUAUCCCCACAACCAACAGGGUGGAAAACAACACAAAAAUCCUGGGAUUCUGUGUUCUCUGGGCUACUUAAUUUUGGAUUCAAUGAGGAGGACAUGGAGAAGCUCAGUGUGGCCCCAUCACAAGGCACCUGAGGUGACUUGCAGAGCUCAAAUCCAGAGUUUGCUCCUCACCAAGUGAGACAAACCCAGUGCCAGCACUGAGCACUGAAUAUUUCAGCAGUGGGGAUGUGAUGCCUUGGCCAAAGCCCUGAGUCCUUAAUUGCCAGCUUUGAAUGUCAUCUCUUUUUGAAUAAGACCAUCAAGCUGUGCUUUAAAGCAGCUUUUUAGUCAAAGGAAGAUACAAAUAUUCUCAUGUCUGUGAAGGAUCCCAUCAACUGAAAAAAUCAUGAGAAAGCCUCUCCUGAAUGAAGCUUGGGCUGGGCUGUGAAUCUUUAAUGUGCAUUUCUGCAGCUCCUUUCAACACUCAGCAAAUUCACAUUCUCUUUGACAGAGUAGACAUUUUCAUGAAGUAUUUAUAGCAGCCAAGCAAAAUAACCUGACUUCCUUUUUAACAGAGGCUUUUGGGAGGCAGCUCCCAAAUCCCAGUCUUCCUUAUUUACACUAUAAACAACAGAGAGAUCAAAUAAUAAAAUGGAACUGCAAUUACACUGGUUUUUCCAGUGGAGAAUACCUCCUUUUGUAAGAAGAUCUGGGUAGAUUCUGGCUGUUCUGUACAGCUCCAUUAUUUAUGAGUCAGGAGGAGAAAAGAGAACAGGGAAGAGCUGAUGGAGGAGGAAAGAGCAAACCCAAACACACUCCUGUGCCAUCAAAGCCCAGCCCAUCUCCUGGGCACAUCCCCAGCGUGGGGAGAAGGGUUUGUUCUCCAGGGAAAUCAAUUCAUCAAUUGAUAAAAUUCACUGCAUGGCACAACUGACAGACUUCUCUCAGGAAAAACAGGGCAGACAAAGAUUCUCCAUCCUACAGGGGAGUUCCUUUCACUUGGUGGAAAAAGUCCUGCAGGCUGGAGACCCUUGGAGGGUCUUCAGCCUUCCUUCUCCAGUGGCACCAUGGUGGCUGAAUCCUGGUGUUGUCCCUCCUAACACCACAAAUAUUCCAGACUUUGGACAGAUUUUCUGUUUCCUACUGGCUUGUGACUCACCAUGUGCUGCCAUUGAAGUGGCUGGAUUUAACCAGUGGCAGAGAGAGGAGAUUCUACAAAUGUGAAUCCUCUGCUCCAGCUUCUGCAUUUCAUAACUCACUUGAUAUUUCCCAGUUUGAAUGACUCCAAUAAAUGUGGCUUGCUGGUCAAUUUAGCAAGACGAGUGUUUCUAGUGAGGUCAGUGCAAGACAAAUAAGCAGGUUUCAGUAAAAUGACUCGUAACAUUUCAUAGAAAUUAUUAAAAAAUCAUAAAUGAGUGUUGCUUCCCACUAAUUGCCCAUUUACAGCCAUAUUCCUAUUGCUUCCUUCAGGAGUUUCACCAGUCAGACCUUUAAAAAAUAUACAAGGAGCUUAGAGAAGACGUUUGUUACAAUUGAUUGGAUGCAGAUGUCUAUAAAAAAAUGGAAAAUGGCAAAAGGAGAGCAAUAUCUCUGAGUUUUUCUAGCUUUUAUGGGCAGCAGAAGACCUGGCUGCCAUCAUUCCUCUGCCUGAAGGCAAAGAUUUCCAUUACCAGUGAAUCAGUCACAUGGGCAGGGAAAGAGAUAAAAAUUGGUCCUUUGUACAAUGUUCAGCUGAGGUAAUUAAUUGGGGAUUGAUUCAGGAGAAAUCCAACUCAUUUGAAGCCUACAGUGAUAAAAUCACCACAGAUGGGUUGGAGCAGGAGGAACUCCAGCCUGGCAGGACACGGAGAGAGCUCUGGGCGUGGGAGCAGCCAGCCUGCCCCAAGGCUUUCCUGAGUCUUUCCAAAGCUGGGAAUUUUCUGUUUAACUCUCAGGAGUGGCACUUCUGUCCCCAUUUCAGCUCCAUGUGGCUGCUCCCACCUUGGAGGGCUGAGGCUGCAGCCUUGUGCCUGGUUCUGCUGGGAUGGGACUUUUUAAAGCAUAUAAAUGUAAUUAUUCACAAGCCACGUCCUUCUUUCCAUCUACAAAGUCUUCCCUGCUCUGAAAUAUGAUCCAGUCAGUGCUGUGCUGUCACUGGGCAGUCCUGUCCCUGUCCUUAUGGAAAAUUGGUGCCACCUACUCCUGGUUUUCCAGCCCAGCAUCCCUGAUUGCUGGAUUACUCAGAGCAUUACUGCUCUGUAAUCUCAGCCUCCUCCCUCUCCUUCCUCUUUUCCAUGCAGCUCUGCUGACCCUUUCUUUGGGAAUUCCUCAAUUUACACUGUCCUUUUUCCCUCUGCCAAGCCACCCAGGGCCAUGGCUUCACCAGCCUGAAAUAUUCCCUUUAAUAUCCACUUUUGAUCCAAUUAUGGAUCCAAAAAUCUGCCAGGCAGAGCAGCAUCCCUGCUGAAGGGGAUGAAUGGAGCAGACACCAGCAGGAUGUCGACCACUGGAUCCACCCCUCUUGCCUCCAGGACCAGGAUCAUUCUGGGAUCUGCACACUCAUUUGGAACCUGGAGCUGGAAAAGAGAUAAAACCCAGGCAGUAAAGUCCUGCUUCAGAAUUCAAUAUUUCCCCUGCCAGUUUUUAAGGUUUUGGUACAAAACAAAUCUUCUUAAAACAGUUAUUCCAUAAUGAAGGGGGGGGUUAAGCCUGUUAUUCCAUAUUCCACUAUUUUACCAGGCCCACAGAGAACUGGACCAGAGCAGGAGUUUUUGUCUUUUAUGUACAGCAGAACUUGCUUGUUGUAUUUUAGCUACAUUAACUGCUCAAAGCAAUUUUCAGUAUUUCUAGUGAGUUAAAUUUAAAAAAAUAAUGAAGUUUCAUGUCAGCUCCUGGGGGAAGCAGAGGUGGAAAUAAUGAAUCCACAAAUAUAUUCCAUGGGCUCCAUAAAAUGGUGAUACAGCAGCAGAGCAGAGGAGAUGGCCAGGGCAAAACCUGGCACCAAAGCUCCUGUGGAAUUUCCUCCUGAAUUCCCUGAGGAUUACUCUGGCUGGUCUUCCAGGAGAACACCAGCCUGAGUAAUCCUGACUCCUGGAUUUGGUCUGCCUGAUUAUUCUUCACACUCAGGUGUUUGGUGCCUCUUGGUGCAUCCUCAGCUCCUGGAGUCGAAUGGCUCUGAGCAGGAUUUAGCAGGAUGCAGGAAAGUCAUGUGUGGAUAAAGGAAAACCUUCUAGAAACCUGGUUUUUGCAAAUCUUGGGAAAAACACAUUAAGAGGAGAGCUCCUGCAUGCAGCAGCACUGAGGGUGAUUCAGGCUGUUUCUGUGUAGGCAAAAAGAGCCUUUUUCAGGUUUGAAUUUCUUUUGGAUAUCAUUUGAAUUUGUGUUUUCUGCGUUCUGAAUUGUAGGGAAAAUGUAGAAAAUCGACCUCUCAGUUAAUCACAGUCCUCCCCCAAAUGCUACCAAACUAAAAUGUAGCUGGUUUUGCAAGCAAAGGAGUGGUUUUGCAGCUCUCAGUAAUAAAAUACCUCAGACAGAGCUAAUGGCCUCUCUCCAGAGGCAGUGGAGUCAUUCCUGCCCUCCAGCUUUAUAGAUCCUUAUUUUCAUUAGGUUUUUAUUUAAUGAAAGAAUAAAACUCACACACUCACACAGAGACAAAACCCCAGGAAAGUCUAUUUUAAAUAAGAAAUCAAUGUUAUUUUGUACCACAACCCUUCUUCCCAGUCUUCCCAAAAAUCUGCUCAGAAGGAUAAAGUUCAGGAGGGACAUUGUGGCUGUGAGCAAUGCUGGGUAGAAGAUAUUUUUAUUGAUGAAAUAUUGUAUUUUAUUGUAGAUUCAUGGGUGGCAUGCCACUGAUUCCCACAAAUCUCAUGUCCCAUCUGAGCUCUUACAGAUGUGAAUCCCUGGAUGUGCUACAACCCUGCAUCCCUUAUCAGGCUUAUUUAACACCUUAUCCCCUUCUCUGCCAGCUAUAACACUUUAAUUCUAAUUUUAAUAUUUGUUUUCUUGGUGAGGUCCCAGGAGAUGGAAUUUUCCUGGGCAUCCUGACAUUGUCCAUGUGUUAAUGUGGAUGAAUAUUUCCUGAAUAUUUGCCUGACAUAGGUGACCCCAGGACCUGGAAUUGCUUGAAUUAAAUGCAGAAAUAUCCACCUUCUGAAGGAUAUGACUUGGGACAAAAAGGAGCAAAGGUUUUCACCGUGUCACCCAGAGAGCAGGAAGAGGAUUGCUCUUGAAAACCACGCUUGGAAACAACUCUCCCAGUUUUCCCACUUCAUGUUUGAUUCACUUCUCUGUUAAAAAUAAAGACAAGUAAAAACUGA